AGUCCUGGUUCAGUAAUAUUGAAAGGAUCUCUGACUCCCUAUCCCUCUCCUACUUUCUUAUCUCCUUUCCACUUUUCUUUCCAGGUCAUUCCCUGCAGUGUGUAGAAUGUCUAGCAAUCAAUGGAUAUUGCUCUGAUGUAAAGGAUGACUGUCCUGAGAAUUUUGUCUGUAUAAUUACGAAGUUGAAGAGUAAAGAUGGAAAAUACAAUGUCACCACAGCAGGUUGCGAAUUGGAAAGUGAGUGCAAGCGAGAGAAAAAGACGAUAGGGCAGAAACUCCCUGUUGAUGCCAUACGUAAUGUUCCAUUUGAAACGGUCGUUGAAAGCGUUGUCUGCAGCACAGACCCUGAUACCUUUAUAAAAGCUAUCAGCAAAGCCCCUCCCUUCUUUGCAUCCUUCUUCUCGGCCUUUCUUGGGCUUCUCCUGAUGAAGCUUCUCCUCUAGAGCUCUUCCUUUCACCCAAGAAGUUGUCCCCUUUUUCCUGUCCUGUAUAAUCUCUCCAGGUGAUCAGGCGAGCUCUUGGAUGUUAUGCAUUGAUCUCUAAAUUUUGUUCCCAUUUCCUGUUUUCCUAUAUUUUCCUUUAAGUGGUAACCAACUAAGUGGACAGAAAUGUAAUCAGCAGCCUUGAACAUGUACUUGGAGAAAAAAAAAUGGUGUGAUUCAAAUAAAGAAAACAAUGAGGAACAAAUAA